UGCCAAAAUAACUUGUGAGAUGUAUGGUAUUUCAUUGUAAGCAAAGUUAACAGCGAUUACAAGGUUUGUUUAAUUUCUUUAAAGUGUUUUAUGCACCGUCGUACAUAGCCACUAUUUAGCUCAUAAAUAGACCGACUACGAACAAACCAUGUUUAGCCCAAAAUAACCUUGAAUUUAAUAAAAUUUUGUUUUUGCCAAAAUAACUUGCAAGAAUUAUGAUAUUUUAUCAGGCAUGCAAAUACACCAGUGAAAUUAAGAUGUUUGGUUUAAUUUAUCUUAUCUGAAUAUCUGCUGUCACGCAUAACAUUCAUUUUAUUUGACCGUAUUUCAAAGAUAAACAAAAUUCAGUUACAACUCCGAACCGCUAGAUGGCAGCAGUACACAAACACGAGGCCAAAUCUCACGAGAAAGAUUUCCGCUGUUUGAAAGGCAACAACAUCAGCGAGCAGCCACGAAGCAAUCUACCACACUCGUUUGGUCUUGUGUCAAAGCUGUGCGAAACUGGAGGGAGAAACUUGAGAGACCGUGCCGGAAGAAUGCUGGACAGAGUUCACUAAAAUUCAUUAAUUUCAAAGUUCAACAUGAAUGGUGGUGGUCCACUGCAGAAGCAAGCAUUUGAAAAAACAUCAGUUCUCAGUUAUUAAAGAUGCUGUGUUGAACAACUUCCCAUCAGCAACAGAACUGGAAGUGAAGGAUGCAAUGGGGGCAUUUCAAACAGGCACCAGGGAGCACGGUAGUGAUGGGUCGUUCGCGAACGCCGGCUCUAAGAGCUGAUUCUUUGUAGCGAACGAGCAGAGCCGAAUCUUCAGACGCAGGCAGGGGAGCCGGCUCUUCUAAGGGAGCUGAGCCAGAAGAGCCGAAUCUAUGAAAAGAGCCGGGCUGCCAUCACUAAAAUGUAGAGCCGGAGCUUGAUCCGAAAGAGCCGAAUCAAUGGAAAGAGCCGGACUGCCCAUCACUAGAGCACGGGGAGGGGGGGUAUAGAAAUUAGUACAAUUAAUAAGUUGACGUGAACUGAAGAUAGUUUGUUAAUGUUUAGAUGUUAUUUCAUUUUUCAAAUUGUAUUUUGUUAUUUAUGCUUUUAUUUUGUUACUGUUUUUAUUCUUUUUGUUAAGUAGUUUUUCUUCAUUUUGUCUUAUCUGAAUUUCUAUUGUAUUAACAAUAUUUUUUGUAAUAAAUUGCAUGAUUGCAUGUUUAUGAGAACCUUUUUUAAUGGAUUAAAAAGAAUUCUUUAGCCAUUCUUUUGUUCUUUAUUAGACACACACGUAUAGUCGUUUAAUAGCCGUCUAUUUAACGGCUAGUCUAUUCUUGGGCUAUGAUAGACGUCUACUAGAUUUUCACUGACAGCCCAAAAUUAGCCUUGUUUUAGCCUAGACCCACAUUAACCGUCUAUUAGACGUAUAUGUGUAGACGUUUAAUAGCCGUCUAUUUGAUGACUAGUCUAUUUCUUGGGCUAUGAUAGACGUCUACUAGAUUUUCACUGACAGCCCAAAAUUAGCCUUGUUUUAGCCUAGACGUCAGGGGGGUGUUUAGACGGCUACUAGACGU